GCCAUAUCAUUUUGAAAAACCCGUUCCCUACGAUCACCGAAGUUAAGCAAAGCUGAACCUAGUUAGUACCUAGCUGGGAGACCGCUUGAAAAUAUUAGGUGAUGCAAG